CUGUAACAUUCAAAUAUAUGAUACGAAAAUUUACAGUUUUUAAAAGAUUUUUUACUAUUCACUAUCGUAAUUUCAUUAAGAGUUUAUUGUAAUCAAUUCAAUAAGAAAUAUUACAAUGUUACUAUCGUAAAUAGUAAAAGAAUAAAAAAUAAGAUUUAAUUAUACUAUUUAUUCUUUUAUUCUUCCUUUUAAUUUACAGUGCUGCCUCUAUGUUUUUACAAUACAAGCUACAAAAAUUACGAUAGUUGGAUUGUAAAUUUUCUGAAAUGGUAUAGUAUAUGCCAUCUGAAGCGUUUACGUAUGAAAGACAAGUGUUGUCACAAACCAUGAUGUGAUGCUUGUAUGAGUGUAUAUAUAUAUAUAUAAAUACAAAUGAUGACAUCUACUUUGUCUGUAUUAUUUGUGGUUCAACUAUAUAUAUUUAUAAAUCAGUUCAUCUUUAUCCACAGUGUAGUGCAGAAAUAGAGGUUAUUAUUCAUGACGUUUUUCGGACAAUUGUAAAUAAGAAAUUUAAAAUAAAAACUGUACUUUCGUCAUUACAAACCUACAUAGAUUGUGGAAUAUAAUAAUUUGGUGGUGAUAAUCUUCAUUUGUCGACAAUGAAUAAUUUUACCCGGCUUUGCGAGAGGUAAAACAUUUCAAUAACCUCAAAUUAUGGACAUUCAACAUUUCUUUAUGAUACUGAAGUUAGCAGACGCCUCAUAAUUUUUGGAUUUUUUUAAAAAUGAUAAAUUAUAGAAAAAAAGUAUUCGAAAAAAUUGCACCUAUGGUUUUUUUAAUUUUCUACAUGUGCGUAUUUUGAAUACAAAUAAAUGAGUUAUUUAUUCAUAAAUUUUAUAUAUACCAAAAAAAUAUGUUUGAAAAAAUAUUAAAUAAAUGUUUUAUUAUUACUACUUCAA